ensembl:lncRNA
GGGGGAUUUUGGGGUUUUUUUGGGGGGGGUAUUUGGGGGAAUUUGGGUUUUUGGGGGGGAUUUGUUUUUUUUGGGGGGGUAUUUGGGGGAAUUUGGGUUUUUGGGGGGGGAUUUGGGGAUUUUAGGGGAUUUUGGGGGGUUUAGGGCAUUCUGGAUGGGAUUUUUGGGGUGAAUUUGGGGAAUUUGGGGGAUUUUGGGGGGUUUAGGGCAUUUUGGAUGGGAUUUUUGGGGUGAAUUUGGGGGAUUUGGGGUUUUUUGGGGGGGGUAUUUGUGGGAAUUUGGGUUUUGGGGGGGGAUUUGGGGUUUUUUUUGGGGGGUAUUUGUGGGAAUUUGGGUUUUUGGGGGGGAUUUGGGUUUUUUUGCGGGGGGUAUUUGGGGUGAAUUUGGGUUUUUGGGGGGGGAUUUGGGGAUUUUAGGGGAUUUUGGGGGGUUUAGGGCAUUCUGGAUGGGAUUUUUGGGGUGAAUUUGGGGGAUUUCGGGUUUUUUGGGGGGGUAUUUGGGAGAAUUUGGGUUUUUGGGGGGGAUUUGGGGAUUUUAGGGGAUUUGGGGGGGACUUUAGGGGAUUUCGGGCGUUUUGGAUGGGUUUUGGGGGGGAAAUUUGGGGGAUUUGGGGCAAUUUUGGGGCAUCCUGAAGUGUUUUAGGGUCAAUUUUGAGGAGCUUUGAGGGAUUUCGGUCCAUUUUGGGGCUUUCUGAGGUGAUUUAGGGGGCGAUUUUGAGGGAUUUUGGUCAAUUUGGGACAUCCUGAAGUGUUUUACGGUCAAUUUUGAGGAGAUUUGAGGAAUUUUCGUCAAUUUUGGGCACUCUGAAGUGUUUUGGGGUGGGUUUUUGAGGGGAAAUAUGCGAGAUUUGGGUUAAUUCUGGGCAUUCUGAGGCGUUUUGUGGGAUAAAUUUGAGGAAAUUUGUGGGAUUUGGGUCCAUUUCGGGGCAUCCUGAAGUGUUGUGGGGUCAAUUUUGAGGAGUUUUGAAGCAUUUGGUCAAUUUUGGGUCAUUCUGAGGCGUUUUGUGGGAUACAUUCAAGGAAAUUUGUGGGAUUUUGGUCCAUUUCGGGGCAUCCUGAAGUGUUUUAGGGUCAAUUUUGAGGAGAUUUGAGGGAUUUUGGCCAACCUCGGGGUCGAUUUCUGUGGAAAUCAUACAGAUUUUGGACAAUUUCAGUGCAUCCCGAAGACUUCCAGCGCCCAUUUUGAUGGAAAUCGGACAAUUCUGGAAUUUUUUCUGAGGGAUUUUUAUGUAUUUUGAACCAUUUUUCAGCCCUCCCGUGCCUUUUAGAGACCCAUUUUAUACCUUCCAUGCAUCCCUACCCCCAUUUUGGGUCCAAUCCCCGCAAUUUUAGUCCACUUUACCCCCCCCCCCCCCCCUUUUUCCCACUCAAUUUUUGGGUCCAUU